AACGAACGCUGGCGGCAGGCUUAACACAUGCAAGUCGAACGCCCCGCAAGGGGAGUGGCAGACGGGUGAGUAACGCGUGGGAAUCUACCCAGUUCUACGGAACAACAGAGGGAAACUUCUGCUAAUACCGUAUACGCCCUAAGGGGGAAAGAUUUAUCGGAAUUGGAUGAGCCCGCGUAAGAUUAGCUAGUUGGUGAGGUAAUGGCUCACCAAGGCGACGAUCUUUAGCUGGUCUGGGAGGAUGAUCAGCCACACUGGGACUGAGACACGGCCCAGACUCCUACGGGAGGCAGCAGUGGGGAAUAUUGGACAAUGGGCGCAAGCCUGAUCCAGCCAUGCCGCGUGAGUGAUGAAGGCCUUAGGGUUGUAAAGCUCUUUCAGUAGGGAAGAUAAUGACGGUACCUACAGAAGAAGCCCCGGCUAACUUCGUGCCAGCCGCCGCCGUAACAC
rnacentral:rRNA from 1 species